rnacentral:rRNA from 1 species
GAUGAACGCUAGCGGGAGGCCUAAUACAUGCAAGUCGAGGGGUAACAGGGUUUUCGGACCGCUGACGACCGGCGAACGGGUGAGUAACGCGUACACAAUCUACCUUCAAGAGUGGGAUAGCCCUGGGAAACUGGGAUUAAUACCGCAUAGUAUUAUAAUACCGCAUGGUAUAAUAAUUAAAACUCCGGUGCUUGAAGAUGGGUGUGCGUCCUAUUAGUUAGUUGGUAAGGUAAUGGCUUACCAAGGCGAUGAUAGGUAGGGGGCGUGAGAGCGUGGUCCCCCACACGGGUACUGAGACACGGACCCGACUCCUACGGGAGGCAGCAGUAAGGAAUAUUGGACAAUGGGCGCAAGCCUGAUCCAGCCAUCCCGCGUGCAGGAUGACUGCCCUAUGGGUUGUAAACUGCUUUUAUUAGGGAAGAAACCCUUGGAUUUAUCCGAGGCUGACGGUACCUAACGAAUAAGCACCGGCUAACUCCG